rnacentral:rRNA from 1 species
GAUGAACGCUGGCGGCGUGCCUAAUACAUGCAAGUCGAGCGAACGGACGCGAAGCUUGCUUCUCUGAUGUUAGCGGCGGACGGGUGAGUAACACGUGGAUAACCUACCUAUAAGACUGGGAUAACUUCGGGAAACAGGAGCUAAUACAGGAUAAUAUUUUGAACCGCAUGGUUCAAAAGUGAAAGACGGUCUUGCUGUCACUUAUAGAUGGAUCCGCGCUGCAUUAGCUAGUUGGUAAGGUAACGGCUUACCAAGGCAACGAUGCAUAGCCGACCUGAGAGGGGGAUCGGCCACACUGGAGCUUGGCCGCGGACCAGACUCCUGCGGCAGGCAGCAGUAGGCAAUCUUCCGCAAUGGUCGAAAGCCUUACGGAGCGACGCCGCGUGAGUGAUGAAGGUCUUCGGAUCGUAAAACUCUGUUAUGAGGUGAGAACAUAUGUGUAAGUAACUGUGCACAUCUUGACGGUACCUAAUCAGAAAGCCACGGCUAACUACGUG